rnacentral:rRNA from 1 species
GACGAACGCUGGCGGCGUGCUUAACACAUGCAAGUCGAACGGGAUGAUUUAGAAGCUUGCUUUUAGAGAAUCUAGUGGCAAACGGGUGAGUAACACGUAGACAACCUGCCGACAGGAUGGGGACAACAUUCCGAAAGGAAUGCUAAUACCGAAUGAAGUCGAGGGAAGGCAUCUUCCUUCGAUGAAAGAUGGCCUCUGAAAAUGCUAUCACCUGUCGAUGGGUCUGCGUCUGAUUAGCUGGUUGGUGAGGUAACGGCUCACCAAGGCGACGAUCAGUAGCCGGUCUGAGAGGAUGAACGGCCACAUUGGGACUGAGACACGGCCCAGACUCCUACGGGAGGCAGCAGUGGGGAAUCUUCCGCAAUGGGCGCAAGCCUGACGGAGCAACGCCGCGUGAGUGAAGAAGGUCUUCGGAUCGUAAAGCUCUGUUGAUGGGGACGAACGUGCGAAGGGUGAAUAAUCCUUUGCA